ensembl:lncRNA
AUGUCGGAGCAGCCAGAGGGCAAAGGAAUUUUUAAUCAUCUUUUUAAUGCUGCAGCCCGUGCAAGACAGGAGCUGGCAGCGAGAAAUGAUGAUUCAACCUUACUUUCCACAACAAGACGACUAUUUCGCCAGCGAGUUCAUCGAGUUCGAGGAGGAUCUGGUGGCCGCAGGGAAAACUCUAUUUGGCAAGCAAAACUUUUCCUCCUUCCAGGACCAGAUAAUGGUUUUCUGCCCCCCACAACAGAACUUGAGGAACUGGCUAAACAUGGAUUAGGAAAACCUGUGCACGAGUCAACGGAGACCGGACGCACAAACUCAAAGAUUGGGUUAAACUGGAGUUUAGGUUUUUUUUUUUUUUCUAAUAUGUAUUAAGAUGUAUCUAUUUAUUCUGUGUGAUGUCUGAGCAUUUACAUUCCCUAGGAUAAGUUUUUGUAAUUUUUCUACCUAUGAAUAUUUUCUAAUGAUGUAUUUUGUUUCCACUAUGAGUGUGUGUUCUUUUGCUGAAGGUGAAAUCAUUUGGAUUUUCUGUGUACUACCAGGUGGCAUCCACAUCCUCUGCCAUAUCCAUGGAUUCAUUCCCACCACUCUCAAUUGCUCCGGUACAAGAUGAGGCCGCGCCUGUGGCUGAGAGUACCCAAGCUCAAAGUGUGGUUGCAAAUCAGGUAACCAAUAUUGACACUGUAUAGAAUAAAUAGUAUUUAGUCAUUUUAUCUGCGUGUACU